rnacentral:lncRNA from 1 species
CCCGCCCCCAAAUGCCAGGUAUAGGGGGCCCUGCCCACAAUUCCUUAUAUGGGGAGGUCACCCCUGCCAGACCCAUAUAUGGGGCUGUAUAUGGGGAGGCCCCGCCCCCACCUCUGACAUUUGGCCCGCCCCCCAGGGCUAGGAGAGGGGCAGCUGCUGGCCGUGCUGGGGGCGGAGCAGCAUCUGGGCGGGGCCAAGCCCACGUGGGCGGAGUCACUGGAGGCCGCGACCCCCGACCCCGGCGACGCCCCCGCGCCGCUCUGGGAGCUGCUGCGGGACCUGCGCUGGUGAGGGGGGCGGGGCCUGGACGCCUGGGCCCCUGGGGGGCGGGGGGACACCUGGGCCCCUUCCCUGGAUGCCUGGGCCCAUCCCCGGACGCCUGGGCCCCUUCCCAGACGCCUGGGUCCCACAGGCUGCUGGAGGCAUGUGGGGUCCCACUGGCCCCCCCCGGGGCCCGACUGCACCUUGCCGGGGCCCCCCUGCGCGAGGCCGUGGGGCAGCACCUGGCCCGUGGGGGGCUGCAGGCCCGGGCCCACCAGCUGCUGGCAGCGUGCCUGUGGCGGGCCUGCGACCCCAGCGGGCGCCGGACCUUCAGUGGGGCGGACGCCGAGAGCCUGGCCGAGCUGCCCUUCCACCUGGCCCAGGCGGAGCUGUGGGAGCCGCUGUGGUCCCUGCUGAGCGACCUGCGCUUCCUGGGGGCCCACGUGCGCCGGGGGGCCCUGGAGGUCCUGCCCCACAGCCUGGGGCUGCUGCGUGAGUGGGGAGGGCGCUAUGGGGCGGGAGGGCGCCACGGGGCGCCGGGGGUGGGUCUG